AUUGAACGCUGGCGGCAGGCCUAACACAUGCAAGUCGAGCGAGCGGCGGACGGGUGAGUAAUGUCUGGGAAACUGCCGGAUGGAGGGGGAUAACUACUGGACACGGUAGCUAAUACCGCAUCCCAUCCGAGGUGCCCCGAUGGGAUUAGCUAGUAGUGGUGGUAAUGGCUCACCUAGGCGACGAUCCCUAGCUGGUCUGAGAGGAUUACCAGCAACACUGGAACGGAGACACGGUCCAGACUCCGACGGGAGGCAGCAGUGGGGAAUAUUGAACAAUGGGCGCAAGCCUGAGGCAGCCAUGCCGCGGGUGGGAAGAAGGCCUUCGGGUUGUAAAGCACUUUCAGCGGGGAGGCGUUACCCGCAGAAGAAGCACCGGCUAACUCCGUGCCAGCAGCCGCGGUAAUAC
rnacentral:rRNA from 1 species